CAGGCCUAACACAUGCAAGUCGAACGCCCCCGCAAGGGGGAGUGGCAGACGGGUGAGUAACACGUGGGAACAUACCCUUCGGUUCGGAACAACGCCGGGAAACUGGAGCUAAUACCGGAUACGCCCUUUUGGGGAAAGGUUUACUGCCGAAGGAUCGGCCCGCGUCUGAUUAGCUAGUUGGUGGGGUAACGGCCUACCAAGGCGACGAUCAGUAGCUGGUCUGAGAGGAUGAUCAGCCACAUUGGGACUGAGACACGGCCCAAACUCCUACGGGAGGCAGCAGUGGGGAAUAUUGGACAAUGGGCGCAAGCCUGAUCCAGCCAUGCCGCGUGAGUGAUGAAGGCCUUAGGGUUGUAAAGCUCUUUUGUCCGGGACGAUAAUGACGUGAUCGGAAGAAUAAGCCCCGGCUAACUUAGUGCCAGCAGCCGCGGUAAU
rnacentral:rRNA from 1 species